AUAAAUGGGGCUAGUUUAGCUUGAUGGGGCAUCCUGAUUGCAAGGACAAGUUGAGCUGAAGGGCCGGUUUCCAUACUGUAUGUACUCUAAUUCGUUCCUUGUACAUGUUGUACCAUAGAGAGAAGGACAUGGAAAAUCUGCUCCAACAUCAGAGCCAAAGAUGUACUUAAAUUAAAUUGAUUGCACCUGUAAUUGUCCUCGUUCCCCUCAAAAACCUGUUAAUUACAAUAGAACUGAAUGUCAGUGAGACCCAGAACUAUUAAAUGUUUAUGACAGUGUGAUGGAAGAAUCACGGAUGGCUGUAUGUCAAUGUCCACAGAUAUCAUUUUGUUUUUCUAAAAUCCAAUGCUCCCUUUGGGUCUUCAUACAACUGACCUUGUUAGGGUCCUAAAUAACAUGGGCAGAUGCUUGUUUUUGCACGAUUUGUAAGUGGGAAGUUGUGGUCAUGAAGGUAGAGUGGUGUUUUGCAAAAUUGGCUGUGGUUGUGAAAA